rnacentral:rRNA from 1 species
AGUCACUGACAUUAGAUACCCGCGUAGUCCAGGGUGUAAACGCUGCAGACUUGGUGUUGGAAAUCCUUCGAGGGUAUUCAGUGCCGGAGAGAAGUUGUUAAGUCUGCUACUUGGGAGUACGUCCGCAAGGAUGAAACUUAAAGGAAUUGGCGGGGGAGCACCGCAACGGGAGGAGCGUGCGGUUUAAUUGGAUUCAACACCGGAAAACUCACCAGGGGAGACUGUUACAUGAAAGCCGAGAUGAAGACUCUGCUAGAUUUUCAG